rnacentral:ncRNA from 1 species
UUGUCCACCUGUGUUAAAACUACGGUGGAUGCGCCAAAGCGUUUCGCGACGGCGUUCGGGAAGCCCUCCUUGGGAACUGUUACCAAGUGGGUAAUCCGCAGCCAAGUCGGCCACACUUUUUGAAAGUGUGGCGAAAGGUUCAGAGGCCAUACGCCCCGCAUCCAGCCCCAGUUUAAGGCAACAUCAAGCCCAAUUAUGGGUCAGAUUUAUCCUUAAACUGGAGCUGGAUGAUGAGAUGGUCCACGCCAUUAGGAAACUAGUGG